CUUCAUACUUGGCUUGUACGAGUUAUAUGUUCGAGGCUUGGGUAAUGUGGGACGGCGCGUUUGGUGGAACUGCAGAAGCUUCUUGAGGAGCCGGAUGUCUGUUUAUGCAGUCAAUUGCAAGACCACUUCACUGGGUCCAGAUGAGAGGUGCAGGAUGGAGAAGGAAAUCAAGAAGCUGAAGGAGAUGCUCUCCAUUCACUUGGACCUGAUUCAGCAUCAGGCUGACCAAGCUGCCUCUCGGGAGACCCAGGUCAAGGCUCUCAGGCGGGAAAAUGACAGGCUGCUGCAGAAGGUGGAGCGGAUGGAGCGGCGUCUGUCGGUGCC